GCCUUCGUGGUGUAGUGGUCAGCACGCUCGAUGCGUAACCGAGAGGUCCGUGGUUCGAUUCCCGGACAGGACA
rnacentral:tRNA from 1 species